rnacentral:rRNA from 1 species
AAGGAGCUUGCUCCUUUGACGUUAGCGGCGGACGGGUGAGUAACACGUGGAUAACCUACCUAUAAGACUGGGAUAACUUCGGGAAACCGGAGCUAAUACCGGAUAACAUAUUGAACCGCAUGGUUCAAUAGUGAAAGGCGGCUUUGCUGUCACUUAUAGAUGGAUCCGCGCCGUAUUAGCUAGUUGGUAAGGUAACGGCUUACCAAGGCAACGAUACGUAGCCGACCUGAGAGGGUGAUCGGCCACACUGGAACUGAGACACGGUCCAGACUCCUACGGGAGGCAGCAGUAGGGAAUCUUCCGCAAUGGGCGAAAGCCUGACGGAGCAACGCCGCGUGAGUGAUGAAGGUCUUCGGAUCGUAAAACUCUGUUAUCAGGGAAGAACAAAUGUGUAAGUAACUGUGCACAUCUUGACGGUACCUGAUCAGAAAGCCACGGCUAACUACGUGCCAGCAGCCGCGGUAAUACGUAGGUGGCAAGCGUUAUCCGGAAUUAUUGGGCGUAAAGCGCGCGUAGGCGGUUUUUUAAGUCUGAUGUGAAAGCCCACGGCUCAACCGUGGAGGGUCAUUGGAAACUGGAAAACUUGAGUGCAGAAGAGGAAAGUGGAAUUCCAUGUGUAGCGGUGAAAUGCGCAGAGAUAUGGAGGAACACCAGUGGCGA